rnacentral:tRNA from 1 species
ACCUGGCUGGCUCAGUCGAGGGAGCAUGUGACUCUUGAUCACAGGGUUGUGAGUUUGAGCCCUACCUUGGGUG